rnacentral:rRNA from 1 species
CCUACGGGAGGCAGCAGUGAGGAAUAUUGGUCAAUGGACGGAAGGCUGAACCAGCCAAGCCGCGUGCGGGAGGAAGGCGCUGUGAGUUGCAGACCUCUUUUGCAGGGGGACAAAAGGACGGACGCGUCCGGUCCUGAGGGUACCCGGCGAAUAAGCAUCGGCUAACUCCGUGCCAGCAGCCGCGGUAAUACGGAGGAUGCGAGCGUUAUCCGGAUUCAUUGGGUUUAAAGGGUGCGUAGGCGGGCCGUUAAGUUGGCGGUGAAAUCCCGGGGCUCAACCUCGGCAUUGCCUCUGAUACUGGUCGGCUAGAGAGUGGUUGAGGUAUGCGGAAUGUGUGGUGUAGCGGUGAAAUGCUUAGAGAU